rnacentral:misc_RNA from 1 species
GAAUACAGUGACAACCCAGCUUGAGCGCAACAAAUCUUUAUUACUUAUUGACUAUAUUUUUUGAGCAAAUGUGGGUAGAAGCGACGCAGAGAAAGCUAAGAGGAAGAAGAUAGCCCAAAUGGUCCUGGAGAUGAAAAAGAAGAAAUCUGCUGUUGAAGAGGGUGAGGGUGAGCCCUCGGUGAAAAGGGCUCCAACCGACCAACCAAUGCUUGACUACCUUGCUCGGCCUGCUACUACUCGGACUACCCUUUCCACUUCUAGGGCCGACCCUAACCCGCUCCCGAGUGCUCAGAGAAGUGAAGUUGCAGCUCGGCUCGGGAAGUACAAAACUAUCCAUGAAAAUAAAGAGUUUGCUACUGUGGUUGGUGGGUCUUUGAGCCUCGUUGAAGAUCACCAGCGGUUCGAGGUUGAGAAUGCUGAGGACCUAUUUCUUCGAUCAAUCAGCCUAAAGGUUGAGUCAAUAGCCACUGAUCAAAUUGCAAAGGAGAAAGUGCGGCAACUUAACGCAGGCUUAAUCGAGGCCCAAAGGGAGAAUGUGACUUUGAAGGCCGAACUAGCGAGUGUUGAUGCCAAGUUGAAGUCUUCGGAAGGUCUGCUUGCUCAUCUUCAAAAGGACCUUGAUGAUGCAAAGGCAAGCCACUCAGCUGAAAUAGUGAGGCUAAAUGAGAACUUAAAGUCUCUAGAAGCUAAUGCCGACCAACAGGUGGCUACAGCAUAUGUGGAGGCUCACAAUGAUCUCCUUCGCGAGCUGAAGAAGCGAUAUCCGAGUGAGGACUUCACAUGGGUGGACGACCUAGAACCCAGGGCGGCGGAUGAGGGGAAUUUUUUAGGGGGGGAAGAGGGGGUCUUGGGUUUUUUUUAGCCUACGGGCUCCAAUAUAAAUGAUCAGAUUGGGGCUAAUCCCAGCUCUUCAUGAACUUCAUAAAAAUCUUUGUUUGUAUUGAAAUAUGAUCUUUUUCUUUUCCG